UUUCCGUAGGUGAACCUGCGGAAGGAUCAUUACUGAAUUUCAGGAGGGUUGUCGCUGGCUUCAUUGCAUGUGCACACCCUUCGAUCUUCUAUACACACCUGUGCACACCUGUAGAGAAAGCUGACGCGAGUUGGCGACUAUCUAUGUCUUUCACAAACUCUUGUAUGUUAAAGAAUGUCUAUCUAUGGUCGCCUUAAAACCGUGACUAUAAAAUGUUAUACAACUUUCAACAACGGAUCUCUUGGCUCUCGCAUCGAUGAAGAACGCAGC
rnacentral:misc_RNA from 1 species